rnacentral:lncRNA from 10 species
GGAAAGGAGACGUGCCCACUGGAGAGCAAGUCAGAACUUUCGUGAGCCCUGCUCCAGGUCCCAGGAGAAAGUGCCAGCCAUGAGGACUGGAGUAUUGCCUGCCCUUCAGAGACUUGAAGACAGUGUGUGACUCUCCUGUGAGUUAAGAGCACUGGCUGAGUCAGACAGACCCGAGUGACAAGCCCAGCUUCGCUCCCUCUCAGCGGUGAGAGCCAAGAUUUUCUUGCCUCCUGGGCUCCCUCCACACUAUCCUGUGGCUGUGGCAGAUAUGUCAAUACCCUUACAUUCACUGCGAUUCAACAAUACAAUGAGGGAGGAAAAUGUUGAGCCCCAAAACAAGCAGAUGGCCUUCUGUAGACCAAUGACAGAGACCAGAGCAGACGUACAGAUUCUGCAUUCUCAUGUACAGUUGCCUAUAGUCUCAACUUCAGCCUCAGACCCUGGAGGGACAUCCACACAGUUGAUGACAUCUCCAGUCUUUGACACCAUGUCUGCACCUCUAAUGGGAGUACCAAACUCUGGAGCAUUGUCC